AAAGUUCUGAGAUACUCGUUAAGCUCUUAUUUUGAACCUACAUAUAUAUUCAGGGAGUUCAAUAUUUAGAUGAGAAAAUGUACCUUUAUGUGAAUCCUUACAAGGUAUUAAAGGCGAUUGAGGCAUCUGUGCGGACACCCACCUAUCUGAGGAUAGGGAUCAAAAUUAGAGUACCGAUAUUUUGGAUUUAAU
rnacentral:other from 1 species